AUUGAACGCUGGCGGCAGGCCUAACACAUGCAAGUCGAACGAGUAGCGGACGGGUGAGUAAUGUCUGGGAAACUGCCUGAUGGAGGGGGAUAACUACUGGAAACGGUAGCUAAUACCGCAUACCAUCGGAUGUGCCCAUAUGGGAUUAGCUUGUAGUGGGGGUAAAGGCUCACCUAGGCGACGAUCCCUAGCUGGGCUGAGAGGAUGACCAGCGACACUGAGACUGAGACACGGUACAGACUCCGACGGGAGGCAGAAGUGGGGAAUAUUGCACAAUGGGCGCAAGCCGGAUGCAGCCAUGCCGGGUGUAUGAAGAAGGCCUUCGGGUUGUAAAGUACUUUCAGCGGGGAGGCGUUACCCGCAGAAGAAGCACCGGCUAACUCCGUGCCAGCAGCCGCGGUAAUAC
rnacentral:rRNA from 1 species